AUUGAACGCUGGCGGCAUGCCUUACACAUGCAAGUCGAACGGCAGCACGGGUGCUUGCACCUGGUGGCGAGUGGCGAACGGGUGAGUAAUACAUCGGAACAUGUCCUGUGUGGGGGAUAGCCCGGCGAAAGCCGGAUUAAUACCGCAUACGAUCUACGGAUGAACGCGGGGGACCUUCGGGCCUCGCGCUAUAGGGUUGGCCGAUGGCUGAUUAGCUAGUUGGUGGGGUAAAGGCCUACCAAGGCGACGAUCAGUAGCUGGUCUGAGAGGACGACCAGCCACACUGGGACUGAGACACGGCCAAGACUCCUACGGGAGGCAGCAGUGGGGAAUGUUGGACAAUGGGCGAAAGCAUGAUCCAGCAAUGCCGAGUGUGUGAAGAAGGCCUUCGGGUUGUAAAGAACUUUUGUCCGGAAAGAAAUCCUUGGCCCUAAGACGGUCGGGGGAUGACGGUACCGGAAGAAUAAGCACCGGCUAACUACGUG
rnacentral:rRNA from 1 species